rnacentral:lncRNA from 1 species
GCCCAGGAAUUUGAGGCUGCAGUGAACUAUGAUUACACCACUGUACUCCAGCCAGGGUGACAGAGCAAGACCCUAUCUCUAAAACUAUUUUUAAAAAUAAAACAAUAUGUUGUUCAUAUUAUCCUAAUGUAGUGUUUUACUGAAUAGAAUUCCUUAAAGGAUUCUUUUCCCCAAGGAUAUUAACUCAAGGUAAAUUAUAAUAGGAUUGCAGAUAAAUUAAGCAUCUUUAUCUUUGAUUACAGAGAUAUUUAGCAUAUGACUAUAGAUAAUUUCCCCUUCAUAUUUUCUUGGGCUUCUAGUAUUUAUGUAUCAAGAAAAUUAUUUCCUUAUGUUUGAAAUGGUGACAUUUCUGAAAUGUACCAGCAGAGGAUACAGGGAUUUUUGUUUGUUUUUCAUUUUCUUAUUUACUGAAGAAAUAAAGGCAUUUUAGUUUAUAAAUGGACUGUUUCUUUUUUCCAGGAAAACUAAUAUUCAUAAUUAUGGGAAAACCGUGGUCUCUUCAAAAGGGCAUAAUAAAAUGUAGAUAUUAGACAUUAUUUCAAAUCGU